rnacentral:lncRNA from 1 species
UUUAGGGCAAUUCCGAUGACUGUCCACAAUCUGUAUCUUUUUGACCGGAAUGGAGUGUGUCUACACUACAGCGAAUGGCACCGCAAGAAGCAAGCAGGGAUCCCUAAGGAAGAGGUGAUCGGAGGGUCCUAGAGUAUCCCCAAACGCACAUAGUCCCUGUCCUGUUCCCCUUCUCCAAAUCCCAGGUCCUUCCUAUACCCAUCCUGUCUCCCUCCAUAACCGGGAUCUAAUUCUACCGCCUCUCCCUCCAGGAGUACAAGCUGAUGUAUGGGAUGCUCUUCUCCAUUCGUUCGUUUGUCAGCAAGAUGUCCCCGCUAGACAUGUACGGUCGUUUUAGAGGGGUGUUGAAAGGAGGGCUAACUAGCCUUGGGAAGAGGAGAUAUUGUUUUGGGAUGGAAGUGGCAUGUGGCCCCAAAGAGGGGAGGGUGUGUUUUAGAGAGGCUGAAUCUGGAACAAGAGUCUUGAAGCUGGCAGGAGCGGCUGCAGGGCUGGUCUGAAAGUAGGGAAAGAGUGAAGGCAGCAGCAAUUAAGUCGAGGGGUGGGGAUGAUGGGUGGUGUUUUUACUCGACAAUCUACAUGAAUAGAAAGGAGUUAACCUGGAGGGCAUAGCAAAUAUUUCUUUGGGAGUGAUUCCACUCCUGUCUUAAUACUCAUUUCUGCAGGAAGGAUGGCUUUCUAUCUUUCCAAACUAGCCGUUACAAACUCCAUUACUACGAGACUCCCACUGGAAUCAAGGUUGUCAUGAAUACUGACUUGGGCGUGGGCCCUAUCCGAGAUGUUCUACACCAUAUCUACAGUGCGCUGUAUGUGGAGUUUGUUGUGAAGAAUCCUCUGUGCCCGCUGGGACAAACUGUGCAAAGUGAACUCUUCCGAUCCCGGCUAGACUCCUAUGUCCGAUCUUUGCCCUUCUUCUCUGCUCGAGCUGGCUGACACAUCUACCUCACCCCUCAGAAGAACCCGUGACUGCCUGGGCCCAUCUCACUUGUUGCAAUUUGAGCCCUUCCACCUAUCAGUCUCCCAGAGCUUCAACCUGAAGGCCUACCACCCACUGACUUCAAGUCAUGAGAAUGAAGUUCACAAGAGAGUCUUUGCCAGUUUUAUCCCCUGCUUGACUCUGUAAACAAUGCAGAAUAAACCUUUUGUCACCCUCUGC